rnacentral:rRNA from 1 species
UACGAAGGGAGCUAGCGUUACUCGGAAUCACUGGGCGUAAAGCGCAUGUAGGCGGAAUUGCAAGUCAGAGGUGAAAUCCCAGGGCUUAACCCUGGAAUUGCCUUUGAAACUGCAAUUCUUGAGUAUGAUAGAGGAUAGUGGAAUUUCCAGUGUAGAGGUGAAAUUCGUAGAUAUUGGAAAGAACACCAGUGGCGAAGGCGGCUAUCUGGGUCAUUACUGACGCUGAGAUGCGAAAGCGUGGGGAGCAAACGGG